rnacentral:rRNA from 1 species
UACAAAGAGAAGCAAGACCGUGAGGUGGAGGCAAAACCCUAAAAAAUAGGUCUCAGUUCGGAUUGUAGGCUGCAACCCGCCUGCAUGAAGUUGGAAUUGCUAGUAAUCGCGGAUCAGCAUGCCGCGGUGAAUACGUUCCCGGGCCUUGUACACACCGCCCGUCACACCAUGGGAGCCGGUAAUACCCGAAGUCAGUAGCCUAACCGCAAGGAGGGCGCUGCCGAAGGUAGGAUUGGCGACUGGGGUGAAGUCGUAACAAGGUACC